GAAGAGAUGGCCGAGUGGUUGAUGGCUCCGGUCUUGAAAACUGUCAUAGUUCGUAACAAGGAACUAUCAAAGGUUUGAAUCCCUCUCUCUCCU
rnacentral:tRNA from 1 species